CCUGCACCUGCCGGCGACCGGCGCACGGGUGAGUAACACGUAUGGAACCUGCCCGCCACAGGGGGAUAACCCGGGGAGACCCGGCCUAAUACCCCAUGCCGCCCGGACCGGGCAUCCGGUCCGGGCGAAAGGAGGAAUCCGGUGGCGGCUGGGCAUGCGGCGCAUUAGCUUGACGGCGGGGUAACGGCCCACCGUGGCGACGAUGCGUAGGGGUUCUGAGAGGAAGGCCCCCCACACUGGAACUGAGACACGGUCCAAACUCCUACGGAAGGCAGCAG
rnacentral:rRNA from 1 species